rnacentral:rRNA from 1 species
UACGAAGGGGGCUAGCGUUGCUCGGAAUCACUGGGCGUAAAGCGCACGUAGGCGGAUCUUUAAGUCAGGGGUGAAAUCCCGGAGCUCAACUCCGGAACUGCCUUUGAUACUGGAGAUCUUGAGUCCGGGAGAGGUGAGUGGAACUGCGAGUGUAGAGGUGAAAUUCGUAGAUAUUCGCAAGAACACCAGUGGCGAAGGCGGCUCACUGGCCCGGUACUGACGCUGAGGUGCGAAAGCGUGGGGAGCGAACAGG